AAGAGGUUUUUUUAAUUUAUGUCAUCUCCUUCCCGCUAGAAGCUAAAAAAAAAACCUAAGUCGUCUUCCACAGUGUAGACUCGAUAUCGCUCGGUUUGAAGCUUCAGUUUUCACCAUCAGUUGAAGUUUUCGUUUUCACCAUCGAAACUUGCUCGGUUUGAAGCCCAAGAUUUCGUCGUCGCUUCAAUCCUCUGUGUCUAUUUCUUUCUCUUGAAAUAAAGAUCCAGGCAGCUCUUACUACCAGCCUUGCGGUCGACUCUUCCGAGAACUAUGAUUUUGUAAGAAAGAAGAAAAAUCCUAAAGAUUCAGACGUGUGGGUUGAGCCGUGAACUGAAGUGACCUAUCUUUGGAGGAUCUACGAAAAACUCAGCCAGAAGAAAAUCGAGGUAUGUCACUUACUCAAGAACAAGAUGAAAGAGUGUGGUUGGAAUUGAUUGGUGGGUCGAGUAGAUAUGGGAAAUCUGUCCAAAGUUGAAUGCGGAGAUUUUGAGCGAAGAAAUGCAGAAGAGACCACCUA